rnacentral:rRNA from 1 species
UACGGGGGGGGCAAGCGUUGUUCGGAAUUACUGGGCGUAAAGGCUCGUAGGCGGCCAACUAAGUCAGACGUGAAAUCCCCAGGCUCAACCUGGGAACUGCGUCUGAUACUGGAUGGCUUGAAUUCGGGAGAGGGAUGCAGAAUUCCAGGGUGUAGCGGUGAAAUGCGUAGAUAUCUGGAGGAAUACCGGUGGCGAAGGCGGCAUCCUGGACCGACAUUGACGCUGAUGAGCGAAAGCUAGGGGAGCAAACGGG